CCCAAAUCCACAACACACCUGUGAACCCACCGUAGGCCCUCGGGCUUAUGUAUUAUCAUAUACUCUGAUCAUGGAAUGUAAAUAUUUUGCCUUAAAAACGCAAUGAAAUACAACUUUCAACAACGGAUCUCUUGGCUCUCGCAUCGAUGAAGAACGCAGCGAAAUGCGAUAAGUAAUGUGAAUUGCAGAUUUUCAGUGAAUCAUCGAAUCUUUGAACGCACCUUGCGCUCCUUGGUAUUCCGAGGAGCAUGCCUGUUUGAGUGUCAUUAAAUUCUCAACCCCAGCGGUUUGUUGGGGCUUGGACUUGGAGCGUGCUGGCGAAGGUCGGCUCCUCUUUAAAUGCAUCAGCGGAAAAACGAACUUUUCCCUUCAGCGUGAUAAUCCUGUUGCGCUGUGGUGGGUCAAGGUCCCGCUCACAAUCGUCCUCGGACAAAAGACACAUCUGUUUUGACCUCAGAUCAGGUAGGACUACCCGCUGAACUUAAGCAUAUCAAUAAGCGGAGGAAAAGAAACUAACAAGGAUUCCCCUAGUAACUGCGAGUGAAGCGGGAAAAGCUCAAAUUUAAAAUCUGGCGGUCCUCUGGCCGUCCGAGUUGUAAUCUGGAGAAGCGUUUUCCGCGUCGGACCGUGUACAAGUCUUCUGGA
rnacentral:rRNA from 1 species